GGGGAAUAUUGGACAAUGGGCGCAAGCCUGAUCCAGCAAUGCCGCGUGGGUGAAGACGGCCUGCGGGUUGUAAAGCCCUUUAGGUGGGGAAGAAGAGUGGAGCGCGAACACCGUUUUACUUUGACAUUACCCACGGAAUAAGCACCGGCUAACUCCGUGCCAGCAGCCGCGGUAAUACGGAGGGUGCGAGCGUUAAUCGGAAUGACUGGGCGUAAAGCGUGCGUAGGUGGUAACGUUAGUCAGCCGUGAAAGCCCUGGGCUUAACCUGGGAAUGGCGGUUGAAACGGCGUAACUCGAGUGGGCUAGAGGACCGUGGAACUCCCGGUGUAGCGGUGAAAUGCGUAGAGAUCGGGAAGAACACCGAUGGCGAAGGCAGCGGUCUGGGGCCACACUGACGCUGAGGCACGAAAGCGUGGGGAGCAAAC
rnacentral:rRNA from 1 species